rnacentral:misc_RNA from 1 species
GUGAAUCAUCGAAUUUUUGAACGCAAAUUGCACUCUCUGGUAUUCCGGAGAAUAUGCCUGUUUGAGGGUCAGUUUAAAUAAGAAUCGGUGUGGUUGCUGCCUUUCGUGGUGACGCACCGGAUUUGGGUCGUCUUGCCUUCGGUUAAGUGACCUAAAAUUUUGCAUGAUUUUUUUGGAAGGAUUUAAAUGAUUUUUCGGACCUUUUCGGUUAUGGAU